UCUACUAUCCAGCGAAACCA
rnacentral:snRNA from 1 species